CGCAGGGUAGAGCAGUUGGUAGCUCGUCGGGCUCAUAACCCGGAGGUCGUAGGUUCAAAUCCUUCCCCUGCAACCA
rnacentral:tRNA from 1 species